UGACCGCUGGCGGCGUGCCUAAUACAUGCCAGUCGAGCGAACAGACGAGGAGCUUGCUCCUCUGCCGUUAGCGGCGGACGGGUGAGUAACACGUGGAUAACCUACCUAUAAGACUGGGAUAACUUCGGGAAACCGGAGCUAAUACCGGAUAAUAUAUUGAACCGCAUGGUUCAAUAGUGAAAGACGGUUUUGCUGUCACUUAUAGAUGGAUCCGCGCCGCAUUAGCUAGUUGGUAAGGUAACGGCUUACCAAGGCAACGAUGCGUAGCCGACCUGAGAGGGUGAUCGGCCACACUGGAACUGAGACACGGUCCAGACUCCUAAGGGAGGCAGCAGUAGGGAAUCUUCCGCAAUGGGCGAAAGCUUGACGGAGCAACGCCGCGUGAGUGAUGAAGGUCUUCGGAUCGUAAAACUCUGUUAUUAGGGAAGAACAAAUGUGUAAGUAACUAUGCACGUCUUGACGGUACCUAAUCAGAAAGCCACGGCUAACUACGUG
rnacentral:rRNA from 1 species